CCUAACUUGUUACAGUUAAAUUAUCGAUAUAUCAAUUUCAUAUUUAAUCGCGUGUGCAGGAUGUAGAUAUAAUAAUUUUUACUGGGUACGUAUUACCUUUUCUACAAGUAAAAAUGUAUGUAUUUUUGUCUAUUUAUCUGAUUUCCUGUUUUAAAAUAUUAUAAUUUAUAACUGACCUGUUAUACUGAGAAAAAAAUUAUUAUUUGUAAAUGUAUUUACACCAAAAGAAGUAAAAAAAUAAACUUAAUUAUGUUUUUUUUUUUUUUAAUAACACCACGAUAGCGUGCUUAAAAUUAGUCAUUGCUCGUAUUGUGCUGCUGUACCAUAAUGGGAAUUCAGCCAGAUCUCUGUACAACAGUCAACAGGAUACGCUGUCACAAUAUUAUUUUCAAUAGUACCUAACUACUGAAUAUACCCCUGAAUAUACAUUUUAUUGGAUCAACAUACAGUUAAAUCUAAUACUGUGAUAAUAACAUUGAUAAUUUACAUGUGCAAUAAUUUUUCAAAUAGGCUAUAUGAUGUACGCGAGUUGAACAACAAGCUUAAUUGAUACAUGUAUUUGUAUAUAUAUUGUGCACAAUGAAAACGAGUGAAGAGACCUAACCCCAGAGAUUCAUCGUCGUAAAAUAGUUACAUAGGUUUGAUGAAAUUUUAAAAAUACAAUCAAUCCGAAGACCAGAGUUCACCGGAUUUAAAUGGUGUAUAUAACAUUUAAAAUCAAUCAGCAGCUUAUUUUUUUUUAACAGUGUAUUUUAUAGUAAUUCAAGAGUUUAAAUAAUCUUGUUUUUGACGAAUAUAUUAUGUAAGUAUACAUUUCAAUGGUGUUGCGCUCUGUAAUGGAAUAGAUUAAUGAUUAUCGUCAGUAAAGCAUAUUUUUUAUCGUCUA